rnacentral:misc_RNA from 1 species
GAUGAAGAACGCAGCAAAAUGCGAUAAGUAAUGUGAAUUGCAGAAUUCAGUGAAUCAUCGAAUCUUUGAACGCACAUUGCGCCCGCUGGUAUUCCGGCGGGCAUGCCUGUUCGAGCGUCAUUUCAACCCUCAAGCCCCCCGGGUUUGGUGUUGGGGAUCGGCUCUGCCUCACGGCGGUGCCGCCCCCGAAAUACAUUGGCGGUCUCGCUGCAGCCUCCAUUGCGUAGUAGCUAACACCUCGCAACUGGAACGCGGCGCGGCCAUGCCGUAAAACCCCAACUUCUGAAUGUUGACCUCGGAUCAGGUAGGAAUACCCGCUGAACUUAAGCAUAUCAAAAGCGGAGGA